AUGUCCCGAAUAAGUUAUGGUGUCAUUACCCUGAUCCCCAAAGUAGUUGGGGCUAUGGAUAUUCGACACUUUAGACCUAUCAUGGUGAUCAAUGUUCUAGAACACAUCUUCGCGAAAGUUUGCGCGACUCAUCUGGCCCCUGUCGCGGAGCGGCUAGAUCACCCACUCCAGGCAUUUCUGAAGGAGCGAAGGAUCCAUUAUGGGAUCUUGGCCCUUCAUGAGAUUGUCCAUGAGGUGAGGGCACGUGGCUAUAAGGGUUUCCUCAAGUUGGACUUCCAGAAGGCUUAUGACCGACUGGAUUGGUCCUUCUUGCGAUUAGUAUUCUAG
rnacentral:rRNA from 1 species